rnacentral:rRNA from 1 species
AUAUCAAUAAGCGGAGGAAAAGAAACUAACAAGGAUUCCCCUAGUAACUGCGAGUGAAGCGGGAAAAGCUCAAAUUUAAAAUCUGGCGGUCUCUGGCCGUCCGAGUUGUAAUCUAGAGAAGUGCUGCCCGCGCUGGACCGUGUACAAGUCUCCUGGAAUGGAGCGUCAUAGAGGGUGAGAAUCCCGUCUCUGACACGGACUACCAGGGCUUUGUGGUACGCUCUCAAAGAGUCGAGUUGUUUGGGAAUGCAGCUCAAAAUGGGUGGUAAAUUCCAUCUAAAGCUAAAUAUUGGCGAGAGACCGAUAGCGAACAAGUACCGUGAGGGAAAGAUGAAAAGAACUUUGGAAAGAGAGUUAAACAGUACGUGAAAUUGCUGAAAGGGAAACGCUUGAAGUCAGUCGCGUUGGCCGGGGAUCAGCCUCGCUUUUUUGCGUGGUGUACUUUCUGGUUGACGGGUCAGCAUCAAUUUUGACCGCUGGAAAAAGGCUUGGGGAAUGUGGCAGCUUCGGCUGUGUUAUAGCCCUUUGUCACAUACAGCGGUUGGGAUUGAGGAACUCAGCACGCCGCAAGGCCGGGUUUCGACCACGUUCGUGCUUAGGAUGCUGGCAUAAUGGCUUUAAGCGACCCGUCUUGAAACACGGACCAAGGAGUCUAACAUGCCUGCGAGUGUUUGGGUGGAAAACCCGAGCGCGUAAUGAAAGUGAAAGUUGAGAUCCCUGUCGUGGGGAGCAUCGACGCCCGGACCAGAACUUUUGGGACGGAUCCGCGGUAGAGCAUGUAUGUUGGGACCCGAAAGAUGGUGAACUAUGCCUGAAUAKGGYGAARCCAGAGGAAACUCUGGUGGAGGCUCGUAGCGAUUCUGACGUGCAAAUCGAUCGUCAAA